UAUCCGUUAGGUAAGGUAAGUACAGGGAUACUUUUUUAGGGUUACUGCCGCGAAAGUGUGGAGACACGCUUAGUUGGUCAGCAGGUUAUGUCGAAACCAAGGCAUAACUUAAUGUAACUUCAUCGCCCUGUAAUGCUAAAGCUCACACGGUGGC
rnacentral:sRNA from 1 species